UACGAAGGACCCAAGCGUUAUCCGGAUUUAUUGGGUUUAAAGGGUGCGUAGGCGGGUUAUUAAGUCAGUGGUGAAAGCCUACAGCUUAACUGUAGAACUGCCAUUGAUACUGAUGAUCUUGAGUAUGAUUGAGGUGGGCGGAAUGUGUCAUGUAGCGGUGAAAUGCUUAGAUAUGACACAGAACACCGAUUGCGAAGGCAGCUCACUAAGUCAUAACUGACGCUGAUGCACGAAAGCGUGGGGAGCAAACAGG
rnacentral:rRNA from 1 species